GAUCUGCUACACUCUUCCUGCCCUGAUCCUGCCAUGGGCACCAGGCUCCUCUGCUGGGUGGCCCUCUGUCUCCUGGGGGCGGAUCACACAGAUGCUGGAGUCUCCCAGUCUCCCAGAUACAAGGUUACAGAGAGGGGGCGGAAUGUAGCACUCAGGUGUUAUCCAAGUUCUGGUCAUACUGCCCUUUUUUGGUACCAAUGGACCCUGGGGCAGGGCCCAGAGUUUCUGAUUUAUUUCCAAGGCAAAGAUGCAGCAGACACCUCAGGGCUGCCUGGUGAUCGGUUCUCUGCCGAGUGGCCUGAGGGAUCCUUCUCCACUCUGAAGAUACAGCCCACAGAGGAGGGAGACUCGGCUUUGUAUCUCCGUGCCAGCAGUUUAGCCACAGAGUAA